AGAGUUUGAUCCUGGCUCAGGACGAACGCUGGCGGCGUGCCUAAUACAUGCAAGUCGAGCGAGCUGAAUUCACAGAUUCCUUCGGGAUGACGUGUUGGACGCUAGUGGCGGAUGGGUGAGUAACACGUGGGCAAUCUGCCCUAAAGACUGGGAUACCACUUGGAAACAGGUGCUAAUACCGGAUAACAAUGAUGGUCGCAUGACUAUUAUUUGAAAGGCGGCGCAAGCUGUCACUUUAGGAUGAGCCCGCGGUGCAUUAGCUAGUUGGUGAGGUAACGGCUCACCAAGGCCAUGAUGCAUAGCCGAGUUGAGAGACUGAUCGGCCACAUUGGGACUGAGACACGGCCCAAACUCCUACGGGAGGCAGCAGUAGGGAAUCUUCCGCAAUGGACGAAAGUCUGACGGAGCAACGCCGCGUGAACGAUGACGGCCUUCGGGUUGUAAAGUUCUGUUAUACGGGACGAAUGGCGUAGCGGUCAAUACCCGUUACGAGUGACGGUACCGUAAGAGAAAGCCACGGCUAACUACGUGCCAGCAGCCGCGGUAAUACGUAGGUGGCAAGCGUUGUCCGGAAUUAUUGGGCGUAAAGGGCGCGCAGGCGGCGUCGUAAGUCGGUCUUAAAAGUGCGGGGCUUAACCCCGUGAGGGGACCGAAACUGCGAUGCUAGAGUAUCGGAGAGGAAAGCGGAAUUCCUAAUGUAGCGGUGAAAUGCGUAAAUAUUAAGAGGAACACCGGGUGGCGAAGGCGGCUCACUGGACUGUAACUGACGUUGAGGCUCGAAAGCGUGGGGGAGCAAACAGGAUUAGAAACCCUGGUAGUCCACACCGUGAACGAUGAAUAUUAGGUGUCGGGUUCCAACAGGGAUUAGGUGCCGCAGCAAACGCAAUAAGUAUUCCACCUGGGGAGUACGUUCGCAAGAAUGAAACUCAAAGGAAUUGACGGGGACCCGCUCAAGCGGUGGAGCAUGUGGUUUAAUUCGAAGCAACGCGAAGAACCUUACCAGUUCUUGACAUCCCCCUGACCGGCCGGUAAAGCGGCCUUUCUUUCGGGACAGGGGAGACAGAUGGUGCAUGGUUGUCGUCAGCUCGUGUCGUGAGAUGUUGGGUUAAGUCCCGCAACGAGCGCAACCCCUAUUACUAGUAGCCAGCGGUUCGGCCGGGCACUCUAGUGAGACUGCCGGGGAUAACCCGGAGGAAGGUGGGGAUGACGUCAAAUCAUCAUGCCUCUUACGGAUUGGGCUACACACGUGCUACAAUGGCGUAAACAAAGGGAAGCGACCCCGCGAGGGCAAGCAAAUCUCAAAAAUAACGUCUCAGUUCGGAUUGUAGUCUGCAACUCGACUACAUGAAGCUGGAAUCGCUAGUAAUCGCGAAUCAGAAUGUCGCGGUGAAUACGUUCUCCGGGUCUUGUACACACCACCCGUCAA
rnacentral:rRNA from 1 species